UCUCCAGAAAGAAAAACAAAACUCCUCUGUUCAUCUAUCUCUCUCGCGCUCUCUCAUAUUCUCAGCAACAAAACCUCGCCUUUUCGCUCUCGAUCUCUCAACCUCGCAAUCGAUUAAGCAUCACCUAUCUAAAUAAAAGCAAGCAAAACCCUAAACCCAAUCGAUCCCUUUCCUCAACCCAAUAAGUUUCGAUGAUCUCAAGUACAAGUCAUGAAUAAUCAAAGCAAACAGAAAUCACAGAAACAACAAUGGAUACAAGUACAUCAAACAAAUUCAAAUCGAAAUCAAAAGUAAUAAAAGAGAAUAGUUACUCGUUGCGAAUCGUUGAAGCUUGAAGCGAGUUUGAGUUGCUGCAGGUUGAUUGUGUAUGUUGAAGAAACUGUGAAGAUGGAAGCAGGGGAUCGGCUAUUGUUUUGGUUUGCAGAUGAAGGUUAGUGUGGGUUGAGAGGUGAGGUCUUAUGUGGUUCUGUGUAUGAUGGGUGUGAGUUGUUGAGUGAGAGAUGAGAGUUGGUGGUAGGUUGCAGUGAGCAUACGAUUCUGAGUUUGAGCAGUUGUUGUGGUUAUGGGUCAAGUAUGCAGAAAUGGUGAAUGAGAAAUCGUGAGGUAUUGGGUUUGUGAAGGAUUUGUGUGAAGAAUGAGGUUUGGCUUUGAUCAUUUUGGUGCAAGAUUUGGAGUUUUUGAAGCAGAUUGGGGCAGCAGCAUAGCAGGUUUGUUGGACCGUUUUGCUUGGCAUAGUGGAGCAGCAAGAAUGCAGAGUUUUGGACUGUAAUGGCAUGGCAUGGACAGCAGCGAUUUUGGACUGUUGUAGCAGGCUUAGAAACGUGAAAGACAACAACCAUAUACCUCUUUUUUUGUUUUUGUUUGACUUGUACCAAAAAGAAAGAAAAAUGGGCUUAUAACAAAAUGGUCAAUGGGCCUCAUUUUCAAAUA